GCUUAUGACCACACCGGCCUGAGUACGCCUGAUCUCGGAAGCUAAGCAGGGUCAGGCCUGGUUAGUACUUGGAUGGGAGACCACCUGGGAAUACCAGGUGCUGUAAGCG
rnacentral:rRNA from 1 species